rnacentral:lncRNA from 1 species
UUCUUGGUUUAAUGGUUAUAAUUAAGUUUUUGUGUUUUGGUCUGUUUUUCUUAAUCUGUUUGCAAUAGGUUUACUAUAUUUGAUGUAUGGAAUGAUUGUAAGGUGUACAUGUCUAGCUGGCAGGUGUCAAUUGGCCUUGAACUCAUUUUCAUGGUUCAGUGGUUACAGUUAAGUGUUUUGAGUUUUGGUCUUUUUUUCUAUUACUAUAUGCAAUAGGUCAACGGAUUUGGCUAUACUUCUUGGACCUUUUGGAUUAUAGCUCUUCAUCUUUUAUAUAAGCUUUUGAUUUCAAAUAUUUUGGCCACGAGCAUCACUGAAGAGACAUGUUUUGUCGAAAUGCGCAUCUGGUGCAAGAAAAUUGGUACCGUUAAUAUUAUUAUUUGUUGUAUGCAAAUAUAUCAUUAUGUAUUUGUCAUUAUCGCUAUUUUGUGCAUUUUGCCUUUGAUCUUUUUUUGUGAUAAUUUUUCAGUUCGUGCUACUUGCUUGAGAAGGAAAAUUAUAGCUAAAAACUAAGCAGGCACGUGGCGUUGCUAGAAUAGCUAUAAACAGAUUAUCAUUGGUCAUCUCAACUCGAUUGCCUUUCUCGAUUUCGCCGUCCCGGUUCAAGCGAGAAAAUCAAUCUCGUUGAGAUGAUCAACGAUAUUCUAAAUAAAGUCUCGCAGGUUUAAUUGACUUUGAUCUCAUUUUCACGGUUCAUUGCUCAGGUUAAUUUUUUGUGUUUUGGUCAAUUUUUCUUAAACUAUAAGCAAUAGGUCAACAAUACUUGUUGUAUAGAAGAAUUAUAAGCUCCAAUUUGAUUUCAUUCAACAAAUUAAUUCAUGACCUGCAUGUAUACGCUUAGAACACGGCAACGUAACAAAUGGUGAAUAUUUAUCAUCCGUGUAAUUUG